CCGGAACGAAAACAGGCCAUUCCAGGCCGUUCCACCCCAUUCUCAGCCCGGAAUGGAUCCAGACCUCGACCCUCCAGGAAUGGUUCCGCGUCGUGGAGGCGGCCUAGCGGUGCGAGAAGCGGAGGCGGCCUGGCGUCGCGAGUCCGGCGGCGGCGGCUGGCGGAUUCAACUCCCUGGCGAUGGCUCGGUCGCGAGGUGACGACGACGCGACCUCCUUCUCUCCGGUUGAGACCUAAGUUUGAGAUGGUGGACGGCAUGCAAGCUUCAAGACCUAAGUUUGAGAUGUUUGAGAGUUUGCUCAUGCACUAUAUACAUUUCUCUUGCCCCUCUUUCUCCUUUAGAUCUCUAUGUCUAGCUUCUUGAUUGAGUGAUGAUUGAUUUGGAGCUGUUAUCUACCACUGUUGUGAAAGUUUCAGAUAAUAUCCUCUUGUAAUUUAAGUGUGAAGAGCUCUAUUACUUAUGAAUUCCUUCAGUACAAGUAGUUACUGCAUUUUUCUUAUUUA